UUAGGAAGUGCCCUUCGGGGAACUGUGAGACAGGUGGUGCAUGGUUGUCGUCAGCUCGUGUCGUGAGAUGUUGGGUUAAGUCCCGCAACGAGCGCAACCCUUGUGAAUAGUUGCUACGUAAGAGCACUCUAUUCAGACUGCCGUUGACAAAACGGAGGAAGUGGGGAUGACGUCAAAUCAUCAUGCCCCUUAUGACCUGGGCUACACACGUACUACAAUGGCCGCGAACAAAGGGCAGCGACACCGCGAGGUGAAGCGAACCCCAAAAAACGGUCUCAGUUCAGAUUGCAGGCUGCAACUCGCCUGCAUGAAGAUGGAAUUGCUAGUAAUCGCGGAUCAGCAUGCCGCGGUGAAUACGUUCCCGGGCCUUGUACACACCGCCCGUCACACCAUGAGAGCCGGAAACACCCGAAGUCGUUUGCGUAACCGUAAGGAGCGCGACGCCGAAGGUGGGGUCGGUAAUUGGGGUGAAGUCGUAACAAGGUAGCCGUAUCGGAAGGUGCGGCU
rnacentral:rRNA from 1 species